rnacentral:lncRNA from 1 species
GAAUACUGGAUACACUAGGAUUGAGGAGGAUAACACAAGAUGUAUUCCGUCCGCCAACCCCUACGCAAAUCUCAAGCAGGAUCGUUUCGUUGCCCGACGACUCUACACCCACUUCAGUACUCCCAGCCCUUCUCACUCCGCUCCUCAUUAUAAUCAAUAAUUUUUAUCAAUUAUUGAUCAUUCUGGGGGACGUGAAAAGCAUACAUGGAUUCCCCUUCACUUCCAGAAAAUUCUUUUCAGCUUAUAUAACGCUCCAGGCACAAGAACCAACCAAACUCUGAGCCCUUCAACGCCAGGAUCACCAAACAUCACGUGUCGUGCGAGGUCUAAAACUUUUGUAGGUACUGUUAGGAAUACUGGAUACACUAGGAUUGAGGAGGAUAACACAAGAUGUAUUCCGUCCGCCAACCCCUACGCAAAUCUCAAGCAGGAUCGUUUCGUUGCCCGACGACUCUACACCCACUUCAGUACUCCCAGCCCUUCUCACUCCGCUCCUCAUUAUAAUCAAUAAUUUUUAUCAAUUAUUGAUCAUUCUGGGGGACGUGAAAAGCAUACAUGGAUUCCCCUUCACUUCCAGAAAAUUCUUUUCAGCUUAUAUAACGCUCCAGGCACAAGAACCAACCAAACUCUGAGCCCUUCAACGCCAGGAUCACCAAACAUCACGUGUCGUGCGAGGUCUAAAACUUUUGUAGGUACUGUUAGGAAUACUGGAUACACUAGGAUUGAGGAGGAUAACACAAGAUGUAUUCCGUCCGCCAACCCCUACGCAAAUCUCAAGCAGGAUCGUUUCGUUGCCCGACGACUCUACACCCACUUCAGUACUCCCAGCCCUUCUCACUCCGCUCCUCAUUAUAAUCAAUAAUUUUUAUCAAUUAUUGAUCAUUCUGGGGGACGUGAAAAGCAUACAUGGAUUCCCCUUCACUUCCAGAAAAUUCUUUUCAGCUUAUAUAACGCUCCAGGCACAAGAACCAACCAAACUCUGAGCCCUUCAACGCCAGGAUCACCAAACAUCACGUGUCGUGCGAGGUCUAAAACUUUUGUAGGUACUGUUAGGAAUACUGGAUACACUAGGAUUGAGGAGGAUAACACAAGAUGUAUUCCGUCCGCCAACCCCUACGCAAAUCUCAAGCAGGAUCGUUUCGUUGCCCGACGACUCUACACCCACUUCAGUACUCCCAGCCCUUCUCACUCCGCUCCUCAUUAUAAUCAAUAAUUUUUAUCAAUUAUUGAUCAUUCUGGGGGACGUGAAAAGCAUACAUGGAUUCCCCUUCACUUCCAGAAAAUUCUUUUCAGCUUAUAUAACGCUCCAGGCACAAGAACCAACCAAACUCUGAGCCCUUCAACGCCAGGAUCACCAAACAUCACGUGUCGUGCGAGGUCUAAAACUUUUGUAGGUACUGUUAGGAAUACUGGAUACACUAGGAUUGAGGAGGAUAACACAAGAUGUAUUCCGUCCGCCAACCCCUACGCAAAUCUCAAGCAGGAUCGUUUCGUUGCCCGACGACUCUACACCCACUUCAGUACUCCCAGCCCUUCUCACUCCGCUCCUCAUUAUAAUCAAUAAUUUUUAUCAAUUAUUGAUCAUUCUGGGGGACGUGAAAAGCAUACAUGGAUUCCCCUUCACUUCCAGAAAAUUCUUUUCAGCUUAUAUAACGCUCCAGGCACAAGAACCAACCAAACUCUGAGCCCUUCAACGCCAGGAUCACCAAACAUCACGUGUCGUGCGAGGUCUAAAACUUUUGUAGGUACUGUUAGGAAUACUGGAUACACUAGGAUUGAGGAGGAUAACACAAGAUGUAUUCCGUCCGCCAACCCCUACGCAAAUCUCAAGCAGGAUCGUUUCGUUGCCCGACGACUCUACACCCACUUCAGUACUCCCAGCCCUUCUCACUCCGCUCCUCAUUAUAAUCAAUAAUUUUUAUCAAUUAUUGAUCAUUCUGGGGGACGUGAAAAGCAUACAUGGAUUCCCCUUCACUUCCAGAAAAUUCUUUUCAGCUUAUAUAACGCUCCAGGCACAAGAACCAACCAAACUCUGAGCCCUUCAACGCCAGGAUCACCAAACAUCACGUGUCGUGCGAGGUCUAAAACUUUUGUAGGUACUGUUAGGAAUACUGGAUACACUAGGAUUGAGGAGGAUAACACAAGAUGUAUUCCGUCCGCCAACCCCUACGCAAAUCUCAAGCAGGAUCGUUUCGUUGCCCGACGACUCUACACCCACUUCAGUACUCCCAGCCCUUCUCACUCCGCUCCUCAUUAUAAUCAAUAAUUUUUAUCAAUUAUUGAUCAUUCUGGGGGACGUGAAAAGCAUACAUGGAUUCCCCUUCACUUCCAGAAAAUUCUUUUCAGCUUAUAUAACGCUCCAGGCACAAGAACCAACCAAACUCUGAGCCCUUCAACGCCAGGAUCACCAAACAUCACGUGUCGUGCGAGGUCUAAAACUUUUGUAGGUACUGUUAGGAAUACUGGAUACACUAGGAUUGAGGAGGAUAACACAAGAUGUAUUCCGUCCGCCAACCCCUACGCAAAUCUCAAGCAGGAUCGUUUCGUUGCCCGACGACUCUACACCCACUUCAGUACUCCCAGCCCUUCUCACUCCGCUCCUCAUUAUAAUCAAUAAUUUUUAUCAAUUAUUGAUCAUUCUGGGGGACGUGAAAAGCAUACAUGGAUUCCCCUUCACUUCCAGAAAAUUCUUUUCAGCUUAUAUAACGCUCCAGGCACAAGAACCAACCAAACUCUGAGCCCUUCAACGCCAGGAUCACCAAACAUCACGUGUCGUGCGAGGUCUAAAACUUUUGUAGGUACUGUUAGGAAUACUGGAUACACUAGGAUUGAGGAGGAUAACACAAGAUGUAUUCCGUCCGCCAACCCCUACGCAAAUCUCAAGCAGGAUCGUUUCGUUGCCCGACGACUCUACACCCACUUCAGUACUCCCAGCCCUUCUCACUCCGCUCCUCAUUAUAAUCAAUAAUUUUUAUCAAUUAUUGAUCAUUCUGGGGGACGUGAAAAGCAUACAUGGAUUCCCCUUCACUUCCAGAAAAUUCUUUUCAGCUUAUAUAACGCUCCAGGCACAAGAACCAACCAAACUCUGAGCCCUUCAACGCCAGGAUCACCAAACAUCACGUGUCGUGCGAGGUCUAAAACUUUUGUAGGUACUGUUAGGAAUACUGGAUACACUAGGAUUGAGGAGGAUAACACAAGAUGUAUUCCGUCCGCCAACCCCUACGCAAAUCUCAAGCAGGAUCGUUUCGUUGCCCGACGACUCUACACCCACUUCAGUACUCCCAGCCCUUCUCACUCCGCUCCUCAUUAUAAUCAAUAAUUUUUAUCAAUUAUUGAUCAUUCUGGGGGACGUGAAAAGCAUACAUGGAUUCCCCUUCACUUCCAGAAAAUUCUUUUCAGCUUAUAUAACGCUCCAGGCACAAGAACCAACCAAACUCUGAGCCCUUCAACGCCAGGAUCACCAAACAUCACGUGUCGUGCGAGGUCUAAAACUUUUGUAGGUACUGUUAGGAAUACUGGAUACACUAGGAUUGAGGAGGAUAACACAAGAUGUAUUCCGUCCGCCAACCCCUACGCAAAUCUCAAGCAGGAUCGUUUCGUUGCCCGACGACUCUACUACACCC